ensembl:lncRNA
CCCCCCCCCUCCCAAUAUGCUAUCAUUCAGUUCCUCCUCCUCACUGCUAGAAAUUCCCAUGCAGUUUCUCAUUACAUCUUUUCACCUCCCUUCAAAAUCCCUAUCUUUUCAAGGCUCUGUAUUGGAUGAGCUGCUGUUGAGCCGUGGAUUUCCAGCUCCCCCCCCUCUCUCUCCCCCCUUCCAUUUUGCACUUAUUUUUCUGCACUGCCUGCUCGCAGAGGCUGUUCUGCCACCAACAGCUUUUUGGCCAUCUGAUGGAGCAAUCCUCACCCCUAUAUCUGAGUGUUUGCUCAGGGCUGACCCGGCCCACCUAUGCCCUGUGACUCACACUGGCUGGGGACGUUUCCCUUUGAAUCAAGGAGCUUCCAGGAGACCCGAGAGCUGCAAAGCAUGGGGUGUUUGGUGCCCACGCCGUGCUUCAGCAUCAAUCUCCCCUCUUUAUGAACCAGAGAUAGGAUUUAGCAUUUACCCAAAGCGCACAGCUUGGGAUUGCAUGCGUUUGAAGCUGGAGCAGAUUUCACUUUGCUCUGGCAACCAGACACGUUCCACGCUCAUUCUCCAAGGGAGAGAUGGUGUAAUGCUCAUGUGACAGAGGGAGAGCAGCAAGAUGCAGCUGGGAAGGCUGGGACGAGGCACAGCCUCACUGCCCCUGCGUGCAGCAACCUCAGGCCCAUCUCAGGGACUGCUGAACUGCAAAGCCAGGGAGCAAACAGGUGCCCCUGUGGAGCUGGGGGGCAACCAGUGAGUGGGGGGCAACCAGUGCGUGGGGCUCCCGCCGUGCCAGCACUGUGAGUCAGCUGUGACGCAGCCUUCCCAGCCACCCCGCUGCAGCACAGAGCUGCAAGCAGAAAGAAGGGAACCUCAUGCAGCAAAAGCACACAGGGUGGGAGCCUCACUCACUGCUUUCUGCCCGACCAUUUGCCUGCAGGGCUGCAGAGGCCGAGUUUCUGCAGCUCCCACCCGGGCUGGCUCGUUUUUAGGUUGAGAGGGGUGAGUAAGGUAUAUCUGCAGAGGGGAGAUAAGGUAAUCGGGCACCUCGAAUGCCUGGGAUCGCAUUAAAGCAAGGCUGGCUGGUGAGAUCCUAUCGCUGCACAGAAAUAUCUGCCACUUUAUCCUCGUCUGGAACAUGAACCAAAACAAAUCAGGAGACCAGCACAGUGGGUUUGGGCUCGCUGGCACAGCACGGUGGGCAGGGAGGAGGGGAAGCAUUGCCUUGGCAGAGCCUGCACAGCUGAGACAGCAACACAGGAGGAUGCUGCCGCAGCGACGGGGAGCAAGGGUGUCCAUGUAGGAAGGAGAGACACCUUGUGAAGGGCAGGAGAAGGGCCUGCAUCCAGGCUCGCAUACCCAAGGACACUGGGAAGGGUGCACAGCCCAAAGAGCACCUGAUAAAUCAGCUAGCUUUCACCUGGCUCGUGGGAGCGGCUCCAGGAGGGACCCCCUGUGUGACACCACAGCCCAAUCUGAUUGCUAACACAGGGAGCAGAGCCCAUCCCUAACAUUUCCCACCCUGGGCUGACCCCUGGGGAGGGGCACAGCUGCUCAGCUCCCACCUCCCCGAUCCGGCUGUGGCAGAGGGAACCAAACAGCAGGCGUGAGCUGGCUGCCAGCCUGCUCUGUGAGGAGCAGAUGAAAGGCUCCUUUUCUCCUCCACCUGGAGCACACAGCCAGCCUGGUUCACGUGCAUCUGCAGGAGCCAAGGAUAGUGGGAGCAGGCUCACUCGGUACAGCUGGGCCGUGGCUGAUAGCGGGACCUCUCACCGCUUCCCAGUGUUCGCAGGUAAUUGCAUGCAGCUCCCCUCCUUGCCCUCCUGCAGAGCUGUUCACCCAAGCUGGCAAGCUGGGAGGCAAGCAGAAAAAGCUUGCUGCUCUCAGGAAGCACGAAUCUUACCUCUGCCGGCGGUCGUGGCUUCAAAAUACAGUGAAUGUCCUUCAAGGAGGAGGGACCUCAUGCUGUGCCCAGUAAACCAGUCACGGCAGCUGCACGGAGUCAGGGCUCAUCCCUGCCAAAGCCAGGAACAACGUGCAUGCAAACAAAGCUCAGGUUUCCAGCUCCUUUCGUUCUGCCCAAGACACAUGCCCUGACUUAUUUCCAAAGCCAUCAUGUGAAGCUUGUUCCUCCUGGGAGAGCACGAGGUGAGCAGGAGCACUGGGAGCGAUGCCUGCCAAUAAACACCAUCCAGGGCUGCAGUGGCUGAGGGGAGAGGAUCCAGGUCUGCAGGCUUCUUUCUGCCAGAGCAGACCCUGCUUUGGCUUCUUCAGAAGCAUUUGGGAAGGAGGCUUUGCAGGCUAAAAAAGCACAACAGGCCAAGGAUUGGAGCAGGGAGCAGCCAGCACAAGGACCAUCCCAACCUGUAGGGAGCUCAGAACUGCACAUCGCUUCAGGAACGGGGACUGACAGCUGCUAAGAGUUCAUUGAGAGCAGCAAUAUUUGGAGAAGUGAGCAAGUGUGGGGAGACAAGGCAUGGGCAUAGCAAAGCAAGAAAGCUUGACGUCUCCUCUCCACCCUCUAAACACCACACCCGGCUGCUCACAGUGCUGGAGGGAUCGCAGCCCAGCCCUUGCAGGGCAAGCAAGCCUCCAACGCAGUGCAAAUACAGAUGGUGGAAAACAUAAUGCAUCAAAGCAGCCGGCAAAACAUGCUAUCAUCUGGCACUUAGCAGUGAUUGCUGUCUCUGGUUCCCCACUGAGGAUGAUGGCCCACACACUGCCAGGGCAGCUCCAAGACAUCAAAUGCACGUUGGUCAACACACCUUAGGAAGAAGCCUGAGAUAGUACGUUGUGCUUCUCAGGAUGGGAUGAUUACCCAGGGCAAGAGCCUCACUUAAAGCAGAGCUGCUGUUUCUGGACUCCACAGUUCCUUGCUCAGAGUUAGUUCAGGCUCUGCAUCCUGCUGCAGUGGAGACAAGGAAGCCCCUUCGGGUGAAACAGAGACCAGGAAACCUUCAGCUAACACACAGAGAGGAUGUUACUGCCUAUUACCUGCAGCUGAAGAUAUUCCACCUGACUUAUCCAGGGCAAAUAAGGCUUGUCAAGAGCAACACGCUCAUUGAAUUGCUGUAUUGGUCAGUCUGCAUUGACAGCGUUGUGUUAUGAGAGGUAAUCAAAAUGCUGCUGGAGAACUAACGUGUAACAGCUCCGCUCGAGCUGAUGGCAAAAGGAGGCCAAGCGCUGACAAGCCAGCCUCAUCUACAGCACGCAAGAACAGGGACUGACAUACAGCUUAGACCACGUAUUCAUUAACACAAUGGAGGAAUGAAUAAAAGUUCAAGGGGUGAAGGAAGAAAGCUGUUUCCCUUGUAAUUUAUGAACAUCCAGAACGUGACGCUCUUGGCCUUGAUAUCACCAGGUAGAUGGCAUGGCAGAGGGCGGUGCACCCUUUGCACCUGGACAUUAGCUGGCCUGCGCUGGCUCUGACAAAGGAGAGACAGCAGAAAUUAGAUAAAAUCAUGGGAAGAAGCACACCAAAGCUGCCAGGUGAGGCUCUCAGCACAGAGCUGAGCAGGUCUGGGAGCUGCAGGUACCGCUCAGCCCCAGGCAGCUCUGGGAUUCCCUGGACAGACCCCAGGGCAAGCUCCAGCGACCCAGCUAAUGACUUGUAUGGGAUUACUCUGCAAAUGCUGGCUCACAAUAAAUGACUGUGCUUUGGGGAAACCUUUCUGAACCAGCUGUAUUGCGCAGAUGUCCUCAGGAGUAAAAGUGCUUAGCAAGAUCAGCAUGAACCUGGCACUAGAGGCUGCCUGGGAAAACAAGGCCCCAGCUGGUAACACUAACCUUGAGGAAGAGGAGACCCCAGGAAGGAGCAUGGGGCCAUCACCCCAUUCUGAGUCUCUUCAGCAGCUCUAAGAAGGGUGCACAGAUGAGCCACGGGUCUCCCUCUGGUCAACGGGAAAGCAACCUGCAGGAAAGUCCUAUUUCAGUGAACUCCGAGAAAGAGGAUCUCUCAUCCUUCAUGCCUGACUGCCUUCCUGGAGCAGCGUUUUCCUGGGUUAGCAAAUACCACCAACCCCAACCUCUGCAGGCAGAUGGCUUUUUGCCUUAUAGCAGCCCGCUAAUAGGAAAGCAGUGGGGGACAGAUGCUCCUGCCUUCCCACGUUAAGCCAGAGCAGCAGCUCCGAGCUGGCAGCAGCACUUGCUCACAUCAGUGCCCGAAAGCCACGGAAGGCAGCAGGAGGUGUGGGGUAAGCACCGACACGCAGGCACCAUGCACAGAGCCAGCUGGAGCCUGCUCAGAGGCGAUGCUCCCAGGACCCUCCGUGCCCCUCCAGCAACCCAGAGCCUUCCAAGCACCAGCUGUACCUCGUACCCACGCGUGCUUCUAUGCUUCAGCUAGCAGAAUAAAUACAAAGCAGCAAGCAGCAGCAAACAUCUUCCUCUUGACUGCUGCCGAGGGAAAACGCUCUUCAUUUCAGCCCCUCUGCUGCUAACGUGAGGGCUAAGAGUUAAGCUGGCAGCUGUCCUUGCUGGGUGGAAAGGAGCAGUGCAGUCCUAACAGAGCUCCUGGCUGGUGGAGGAAGUGCAGACCUAUUUAAAGGAGUCAGAGCCCUUUUCAUCUGCCUUCUUCGAAAGGGAAAGAGCCCACGUGAAUAUAUCUAACCAGAGCUAGAGCUUUGAACCCCUACGGGAAAGCCCUAUUCACCUCUUUCAGCCAAUUGCCCAGCAUGGCAAGAGCUGUUUCUCUGGCAAUGGCAACGUUGGCUCAUUUUGAAGUCUUUCCUCCCACAGACAGCAAAGCCUCCCUGGUCCCACAUACCCCAAAAGGGCAAGCGUACAGCAUGAAUGCAACUCACAGCACCCAGCAGCACCUGUGGGACCCCUCCUCCUGCCUAUAGAGGAAGGGGCCCAGUCCCCACUUCUGACAGCAGCACGCCAACUGGUAAAUAGCCACCCAGCCCCCACUUUGUCCCACGGUAAGGCUAAUUUCCAACAGCAGCAUCUCCCUGCAGAAGCAGUCCUGGGGUGGGGAGAUGGGAAGGAUGCUAGAGACAGAAAUGGGGACCAACAGCCCCGGGGGAGCUAAGGGGGAUGCCGUCCAGAAGGGAGGAGAGCUCACAGCUGUCCUUGCAGUGAGUGAGGGCAGGAAUACAGGCAGGAGCAGUGCUUUAAGUCGGGCAGUGCUACGGCCGUGUACCUUUGGCUAAGCUGGUGAGAGAAGCAGUUUGUCAGGAGACAGAAGAGGCAUUCGCGUGACAGAUAUGUGCAAGGUUUUCUGCUGUCGUUCUUUCUGCUUUGGUUUUGUUUUGCUUUGAAGUAAUUGCUACACCUCCGAAAAACAACUGCCUCAUCACGUUGUGAUCUUCCCCUCAAGAAAUCCUCGAUGUUGGCUGUUUCCACCCGGCUCUGCAGAGCCCUCCACGCCUUACAGAGACGAAGUGGGGAGGAUCGUGGCACGGCACUGCCCUCUUUGGGUAAAACCACCCACUGAUCUCCACCACGUUGUGCACACAGCUUGUCCUUUUCUCGUGUCCUGCUGGACGUGAGCAGCUCUGCAUUCCCCUUGCAGGAAGGGUGGCCAGGAGAUGCUGUUCUCCAAUCCCAACCCCAAACCCAUCUGCCAUCCAGAGCCACUGCCAUGCUGCUCUCGUAAGGCUCUGCUCCCCAGCGGGAUGCCUGGUAAACUGCAGAGCUGCCUCCAUUUUCCCCCUCUAGAUGAAAAAGGCUUAGUUAAAUGACUGCAAAAAUGCAGGGUGGGAAGAACAUCCUGGAGCAGCAUGGAAACCAAGAGUGGAGGAUGGAAAGGAGAACAGCAGGUGAUGUGGUUGCUGCAGAUCCUACCUUCACACGACCACGCAGACGAGGAUGCAUUAACAGUGGUAGGCAACUGUAAAUCCAGCACGUCCUUAUCUGGAAACACAGGGUUUCUCCAGAUACCCCUGAAAGAGGAAAAAACCAGAGGAGAUCACUGAAAGAAUUCCCUUAGGACCUGAAGAAGAGAUCCGUACACCUCCCACACAUAAGCAUGCAGCACUGCUGCAGUUGGUGCCCGGCUCUGCUGCACCGGUCCCAAACCACCAGCAGGAACAACUGGGUUGGUAAAGGCAGCCAUUCGGAAGCAUCUCCUCUGGGUAAAAGGAAGAGGUCGGCAUCCUGUCCAAACUGGGAGCUCAUGGGUGUAAUAUAGGACCCCUUUACAGCGCUGUGUGUGUGCCCACGGUGUGAGCGCAUGCAUCCACAUCCAUAUAGGAUGCAGAACAAAGCCCCUGCCAUUCCAGUCCGACUUCCAGGCAGAUAAUAAUAGUUCAGCCACGUUCAGCUCCAGCCCCACUCAGCAGCAGGUCUCACCAGGCUUUACAAAGGGACAGCCACGUGCCUUUGAGCCGUGCUCGGGUAGAGCCUAUUUUUGGGCUCUUUGUCAGCACACCACCCUGCUGUAAGCCAUCACCUCUGAGGUUAAUUAGACAAAAUGCUUCAGCGAGGCCACAGGAGGAGCAAGGUUUCCUUUUCUCCACGUUAAGCCCUUUUACCAACACUUCAAUAGAUGCUGACAUCGCUGCGCUCUGCCACGCUACCCAUCGCACCGCUGGUGAUAACAGCAGCUCCAUUGCUGGGGAUGAGGGACAAGCAAACAAGAGAGAAAGCAAUAAGAGCAGAACAUGGUUAGAAAUCAUCGGCUACAGCAGCAGCUCCGGAAGACACAACUGUGCUCGUCCCCACUGCAAUCAACCCAGCACAGCAUCAUAGCCAGCACAGUGCUCCGUGAGCUCCGCAGGGCUGGGGAUGGCUGGGAGCUCCAGGAGCGCGGUGAGGAAAGGACGGCGCUCUCACUUUACCACAACACGACCAGCCGCUCCCAAAAACAGCUUGGCUUCCACGUCCCUGAACCUUGCAGGUGUUUGUUUAACAGUCUGCAUAAAUUGAGGCUAAUCGCAGCUCUGCCAGCUGCCGAGGAGCCCAGCAGCCUGGAGGACGCGGCCCCGUUAUCUCAGUGUGAGCUGAGCGAGCUGCUCCCGAGGGGGACAGCUGAUCCGCUCGGCCCUAAGGGAGCAGCCGACCUCUCACACCCACAGCCUCAGCGGGGGGAAGCGGAGGACGGAGGCUGAAUGGGAUUAGUGCCGAGAUGGGGGGUGAGGAGCCGCUCGCUGCUGCUGCUGCCAGGGACACAUCUCCGCUGUCCCCUUUGCGCUGAGGGCUGGGCUGGAGGCCACGGCCGGUCUCUGUAGGUCUGCUAUGUACAUAAAGGCAUGAAUAAUAGAUCUAACAAGCCAACAAAAGCACUUUAUCUCAAGCGUGCUUCUGUCAGAAAGCCAGGCUUCUCCAGCACGUGGGAUGGUUUCCAGACAGUGCCUUUUCCUAAGAGCAUGGGGGGUUUCCUGGCUUUGCUGCACCCUCCCUGACUUCGCUCGCAGGGAGUGAACACAGGGCAGGGCUUGGCCACAACAGACCCCCCCUGAAUGCCUUUGGCUCACCUCACAGACCUGGCAGGAUGGGGCAGCAUCCCCUGAGCCAGCUCCAUGUGCCACCUGCAGCCCCAGCAGAGCCCGCACGUGGAGAGCGCAGCCACCCGCAUGAACAGAUGGUUGGCUUCCCUUCACCUUAAACAAGGAGCAAGGGCACUUCCUUCCAUCCUGAAGCAGGGGUCAUCUGUAUCCCUGAAAGCUGCUUCCCCAUCCAUCCGUAUGCCCAGCAGCAGAAAAGCUGGAGGAAGGGACUCGUGCUCUCGUGCAGCUCCCCAGCAGUUGGGCAGUGCUCCUGCUGCUGGCCAGCCUGCCUUCCCUGAGGGCCGCCAGGGUUAGUGUGCUGUGCAGUGACUCUCUAAGGCAUGGGCUGUCCCCUCCCCGUUUGCUUUAUGGAAAUACAUAAGGUCUUGACACGAGCAGAGGAAAUUACAUUCCUUUAUCACGGCAGUGCGUGGCCCUGGCUAAGGCAGGAAGAAGAACACGAGCAACACACCCAGAAUACAAUUCUCCUCUCAACAGUGGAGGUCAGCAUUGAAAAAGCCAGCAGCUCCUUCGCCCCUCAGCUCUCUGUUUCAUUUGCAUUUCAAUUUCUGGAGCUGCUGAACAUCGGCCCCACAAAGGCCAGGCGAUGCUCCGGGCUGGAUUCUUGCUCCACAGGGCAGACACAGAGAGAAGCCAUCCCUCACAACCCAGUCCCCAUGUCAGGAGGCACCACCAGAUGCACCAGGAGGGAAGGCAGGAGCAUUCUGGCACGCUCAGCCUGGGCACAAGCAGGUCAUGUUUCUCUGCCAAUACCUGGACCAGAGCAAUGCCUCCUCUCUCCCAUUCCCAACAGGCAGGCAGCGGUCCAAAUUCAGUUUUUAGGCAAUUGGAAAGCCAGGGCUCCCACCCACACCGCUCCUUCCUCGGCUGCCAGCAAGCUCCCAGAAAUUAGGCUGAAUCUCCCUCCAGUACAGAGUUCUCUGCAGCAUCAGAGCAAGGCCCCAGCAAGGGCCUGGGUAACAAAUGGCCCAGCAGCAUGCCAGAUGGCCAAGAAAUCCAGCCUGAACACCCACCCGUUCCUGGGAGCGCUGAAUGCUGCCUCUGCCUACAGACAGGCACGAUAGAUCAAGCUCAACUGGAGGAGAUGGUGAAAUCCACUGUUUAGAACAACUGCUUAUUAGCAGCCUGGGCUUGGCAUGGGAGACCACAGCAGGGCCAGCCCUGCCUGAAAGGCUGCAGCAGCUCCUCCAGCCUCACCAGGGCAAGGAUCCCAUCACAGGUCCUGUGCAGACUCACUCACCCUGAGCCCGGUGCAAGAGGAUCAGCAGCAGCUCCACUGUGCCCUUUCCAAGCCGUCCUUGGGAAGCAUAAGGUGCAGCUAAAGCUUUGAUACUGGAUGAGAGACUUUUUUUGGCCACCAAUCAGUCUCUGAUUUCUUUCCCUAAAAGAGCCAUCUGGGACGUUGUCCUGAAGAUGCAGCUGGUCCAGAAGGCAAGAGACAGUGCAUCAGUACUGCAGGAAACAGGCAAAGCAAGCAGGCUGUCAGAGGAAGGAGUGCUUCUCCAUCCACAAAUGCAGGAAGCUGCUCUCGUCUCCUCACCACUUCCCAGCCUCAGCAGACAUGGGCUGUCAGAAAUGAGAUAAAAUAGGACAGGGGAUCGCAGCAGUUGAAAUCUCUCCUGUGUUUGUCUGGAUACCCUCCAAGAACUCAUCCGAGACGCUGACAGCUGAGGGCUGAGGAUUACAGUGUGAGCGGGGACAGCUCUGCUGCACAGCCCACCUCACCCUGGAGGAGCUGGCAUCUCAAAGGUACAUGGAACAGCGUGCUUUGGAGGAAUUGGACAGGGCUCAGCAUGUCAGAGCUUCGGUACAGCAUCUCUGCAGCUCAGAGCAACAGCUCCUGCCAGAGAAAAAAAAAAAAUAGCCAUGAGCCAUCGUGCUGCAAAGAUUCCAUCCCCUCUGCUGGCAGCUCGAAGGACAAGCACGUACUGCCUCGUUUUCUUCUGGCCCCAUUGAUUUUCUGCAGCUCCAUCUCCAGGAGCACACACUGCAGUUUGUUUGGCCUUGCAGGAAUGCUGGGGCAGGAUGAGGAUGCCUACAGAUCGUGCUGGGGGCAGAGAGACAGCAAAAGGUAUCACAGGACAGCUGGGUUAAGACAGAAGAGGGAACAGGCACAGCCAGGCUCAUUCCCACAGCCCAGGACAAGGACUGCUUUGUGCAAAACCAGAGGUGCCCAGGUCAGUCAGCUCCUAGGACCUCCGAGUCUGGCACAGACCGGCUAGCGGAGCGAGAGCAGAACAGAGAUGUCAAAGAAACAGAAGGAAGAGAUUUAAACAGCCCGAACUUGGUUCCUUCCAGCUUGCUUGGCAAACACAUAGAGCCCGGAUCCUCCUCGCUGCCAUCUCUCCUUCCCUGCUUCCCUGCCAAUGCACCCAUUUGGGAUGCUGCUUCUGCCGCCCACCCAGUGACCACAUUGCUCCACUAAGGCACAGAAAGAAGUCAGGUGAUUGCUUAGGAGAAAUAUAUACACACACACACAAAGAUGUAUGUAUAUGUAAGAGGCCUCAAACUUU